rnacentral:snoRNA from 1 species
AAUCCGUGUUGUAGGUAUUGGCAUAGUAAAUCCUUGUAUAGUUUCAAAGCCUCUGAAUAGCAUUCUGAGUUCAGUUGUUAGAAAGUAGUAAUCUCAUCCCUCAGCUU